CUAGUUAAUCUCAGUGGCAAGGUUAAGCGAAAGCGAGCCGAAGCGAAAGCGAGUCUGAAUAGGGCGCGAAGUCGCUGGGAUUAGACGCGAAGCGGGAUGAUCUACCCUUGGCCAGGAUGAAGGUCGUGUAACAGCGACUGGAGGUCCGAACUAGUGUUGGUUGAAAACAGCUUGGAUGAGCUGAGGGUAGGGGUGAAAGGCUAAUCAAAUUCCGUGAUAGCUCGUUCUCUCCGAAAUAGCUUUAGGGCUAGCCUUGUGUGGUCCGUCGUGGUGGUAGAGAACUGAAUGGACUAGGGGCCUUCCCAGGUUACCGAAUCCAAUCAAACUUCGAAUGCCAUGAACGAGUAGCACAGGAGUCAGACUGCGAGGGCUAAGCUUCGUAGUCAAAAGGGGAAGAGCCCAGACCAUCAACUAAGGUCCCCAAAUCUAUGCUAAGUGGGAAAGGAAGUCGAGUGCCUCAGACAGCCAGGAGGUUGGCUUAGAAGCAGCCAUCCUUUAAAGAAAGCGUAAUAGCUCACUGGUCGAGGAACUCGGUGCCGACAAUCCAACGGGGCUAAAGCAUAGUACCGAAGUUAUGGAGUCGAUACGCAAGUAUCGAUUGGUAGGAGAGCAUUCUCAAAUCAGCGAAGGUAUACCGAAAGGAGUACUGGAGAUAUGAGAAGGGACUCUGCCAGCAUAAGUAGCGAGAAACAAUGUGAGAACCAUUGUCGCCGUAAGACUAAGGAUUCCUGAGAAAGGUUAAUCCGCUCAGGGUUAGUCGGAGCCUAAGGUGAGGCCGAAAGGCGUAGCCGAUGGACAUACGGUUAAUAUUCCGUAACUACCGCUGUCCGAUCAAGUCCGAUGCGGGGACGCAGACCGUAAGUCCUGGGGAGGGUUGGAGUCGAACCAGGAUGAAGGGAAAUCCGGAGAGGUAAGUCCGCCGGGUUGACUGCCAGGAAAAGCCGCUAGGAGGGCAGGGUAUCCGUACCACAAACCGACACAGGUGGUCGAGAUGAGUAUUCUAAGGCGCUCGGGUGAUGGUCUGUUCAGGAACUAGGCAAAUUAGCUCCGUAACUUCGGGAUAAGGAGUGCCCUGGGCGAAAGCUAUCAGGGUCGCAGCAAAGCGCGUCAGGCGACUGUUUAACAAAAACACAGGUCUCUGCAAAGUCUAAAACGACGUAUAGGGGCUGACGCCUGCCCGGUGCCGGAAGGUUAAAGGGAGAGGUUAGCCGCAAGGCGAAGCUUUGAACUGAAGCCCCGGUGAACGGCGGCCGUAACUAUAACGGUCCUAAGGUAGCGAAAUUCCUUGUCGGGUAAGUUCCGACCUGCACGAAUGGCGUAACGAUCUGAGCGCUGUCUCAACGAGGGGCACUGCGAAUUUGUGGUACCGGUGAAGACGCCGGUUGCCCGUCACAAGACGAAAAGACCCCGUGCACCUUUACUACAUCUUAGUAGUGAAUGCUGGCGUGUUAUGCGCAGGAUAGGUGGGAGGCUUUGAACCCAGGCUUUCGGGCUUGGGGGAGCCAACGGUGAGAUACCACCCUUAACACUCCGGCGUUCUAACCUCGA
rnacentral:rRNA from 1 species